GAUGAACGCUGGCGGCGUGCCUAAUACAUGCAAGUCGAGCGAACAGACGAGGAGCUUGCUCCUCUGACGUUAGCGGCGGACGGGUGAGUAACACGUGGAUAACCUACCUAUAAGACUGGGAUAACUUCGGGAAACCGGAGCUAAUACCGGAUAAUAUAUUGAACCGCAUGGUUCAAUAGUGAAAGACGGUUUUGCUGUCACUUAUAGAUGGAUCCGCGCCGCAUUAGCUAGUUGGUAAGGUAACGGCUUACCAAGUCAACGAUGCGUAGCCGACCUGAGAGGGUGAUCGGCCACACUGGAACUGAGACACGGUCCAGACUCCUACGGGAGGCAGCAGUAGGGAAUCUUCCGCAAUGGGCGAAAGCUUGACGGAGCAACGCCGCGUGAGUGAUGAAGGUCUUCGGAUCGUAAAACUCUGUUAUUAGGGAAGAACAAAUGUGUAAGUAACUAUGCACGUCUUGACGGUACCUAAUCAGAAAGCAACGGCUAACUACGUG
rnacentral:rRNA from 1 species